UACGUAGGGUGCGAGCGUUAAUCGGAAUUACUGGGCGUAAAGCGUGCGCAGGCGGUUCGUUGUGUCGGCGGUGAAAGCCCCGGGCUUAACCUGGGAAUGGCCGUUGAAACUGGCGAACUGGAGUGUGGCAGAGGGGGGUGGAAUUCCGCGUGUAGCAGUGAAAUGCGUAGAGAUGCGGAGGAACACCGAUGGCGAAGGCAGCCCCCUGGGCUAACACUGACGCUCAAGAGCGAAAGCGUGGGGAGCGAUCCGG
rnacentral:rRNA from 1 species